rnacentral:rRNA from 1 species
GACGGAGGGUGCUAGCGUUGUUCGGAAUGACUGGGCGUAAAGGGCGCGUAGGCGGGGAGGUAAGUCGGGUGUGAAAUCCCUCGGCCCAACCGAGGAACUGCGCCCGAGACUGCUUCUCUUGAGUCCCGGAGAGGAAGGUGGAAUUCCCGGUGUAGCGGUGAAAUGUGUAGAGAUCGGGAGGAACACCGGUGGCGAAGGCGGCCUUCUGGACGGUGACUGACGCUGAGGCGCGAAAGCGUGGGGAGCAAACGGG